rnacentral:rRNA from 1 species
ACUCAAAGGAAUAGACGGGGACCCGCACAAGCGGUGGAGUAUGUGGUUUAAUUCGACGCAACGCGAAAAACCUUACCUAGGCUCGAACGACUGGAAGUAGAAUUUACGAAAGUAGAAACGACCUGUAAAGUCAGGAACCAGCCGAGGUGCUGCAUGGUUGUCGUCAGCUCGUGUCGUGAGAUGUUGGGUUAAGUCCCGCAACGAGCGCAACCCCCAUUCUGUGUUGCUAGCCCGCAAGGGCGCACUCUCAGGAAACUGCCCACGAUGAGUGGGAGGAAGGUGGGGACGACGUCAAAUCACCAUGGCCCUUAUGUCUAGGGCUACACACGUACUACAAUGGCCGGUACAGAGGGCUGCAAUACCGCAAGGUGGAGCCAAUCCUUAAAACCGGCCCCAGUUCAGAUUGUGGUCUGAAAUUCGUCCACAUGAAGGUGGAAUCGCUAGUAAUCGCGAAUCAGAAGGUCGCGGUGAAUACGUUCCCGGGUCUUGCACACACCGCCCGU